rnacentral:rRNA from 1 species
UACGUAGGGGGCUAGCGUUGUCCGGAAUCAUUGGGCGUAAAGCGCGUGUAGGCGGUCCGGUAAGUCCGCUGUGAAAGUCGGGGGCUCAACCUUUGAAAGCCGGUGGAUACUGUCUAGCUAGAGUCCGGAAGAGGCGAGUGGAAUUCCUGGUGUAGCGGUGGAAUGCGCAGAUAUCAGGAGGAACACCAAUGGCGAAGGCAGCUCGCUGGAACGGUACUGACGCUGAGGCGCGAAAGCGUGGGGAGCGAACAGG